AUUCAGAUUGGUGUAGAUUAUAGUAUAUAACUAUUAAAGAUUGAUCCCCAUACAGUGGAAAAAGUGUAUGCGAACCGCUCACAGUCUGAUGAAUCCCCCCAUGCAUACGUGCAUUAAUUAUUAUCAUGACAUGAACUCAAUGACAAUGCAUUUGAUGUUAUAUUUAUCUUAUGUAUAAGGCCUACGUGCAGCUUGGGAAACACUAUAUACAACUGCUUCAGUCAGCCGAAGGAUGGGGUUAUUGAAUAUCGAACAGUAAGUAUAUAUAACUAGUGCUUUAAUUACACGCCCCAAACCUCGGUAAAGCAAGAAUUUACAGCUAGGUUUUGUUAUCUGGUGUGAUAACGUUUUUACGCCUGAAUUUUGCAUAAGGGUUUUGUCUUCUUAAAUGUUUCGUUUUAUAUGAACAUUGCCAAAAUGAUAUUAAUUUGAAUAGCAGUGCCCAGUUCACAAAAUCCGAAAGAUCACCAAACCAAAGCAUACAUGUAGAUACAAAAAUCUUCAAAAUUUAGAAGUAUAAGAGUACAUUCGUGCAAGAAAAUAACAAUUUUACCCUCUGCCUUUUAUAGAAAUAUUGGAAUUGCAAACUUUGGUCAUGCACAUUCUCAUUUUGGUCGCUAUCCAGAUUGAUGAUUGAAGACCCUUGCAGUAUAUAUACAGUACUUAAAAUCCAGGAGCAAGAAUAUCUAUAUAUACAGCGUGUCAUAUAAAACAUGCAUGCAUUGUGCUUUCCCCGUGAUUAAGCCUAUAAUUUUAACUUGUGUAUAUCUGUAACUGUGUAUAAAAACAAGAUGAAACAAAUGCUUUGUGAAACGUGACUAAUAAAAUAUAUGUUUAUGUUUUAAAUAUUUGUGUAUAUAGCCUAUAAUUGUG